UACGGGGGGGGCAAGCGUUGUUCGGAAUUACUGGGCGUAAAGGGCUCGUAGGUGGCCAACUAAGUCAGACGUGAAAUCCCUCGGCUCAACCGGGGAACUGCGUCUGAUACUGGGUGGCUUGAAUCCGGGAGAGGAAUGUGGAAUUCCAGGUGUAGCGGUGAAAUGCGUAGAUAUCUGGAGGAACACCGGUGGCGAAGGCGGCAUUCUGGACCGAAACUGACGCUGAGGCGCGAAAGCCAGGGGAGCAAACGGG
rnacentral:rRNA from 1 species